UACGUAGGGUGCAAGCGUUAAUCGGAAUUACUGGGCGUAAAGCGUGCGCAGGCGGUUUUGUAAGUCUGUCGUGAAAUCCCCGGGCUCAACCUGGGAAUGGCGAUGGAGACUGCAAGGCUAGAGUUUGGCAGAGGGGGGUAGAAUUCCACGUGUAGCAGUGAAAUGCGUAGAGAUGUGGAGGAACACCGAUGGCGAAGGCAGCCCCCUGGGCUGAGAUUGACGCUCAGGCACGAAAGCGUGGGGAGCAAACAGG
rnacentral:rRNA from 1 species